rnacentral:rRNA from 1 species
CCUGAUCCAGCAAUGCCGCGUGAGUGAUGAAGGCCUUCGGGUUGUAAAGCUCUUUCGCACGCGACGAUGAUGACGGUAGCGUGAGAAGAAGCCCCGGCUAACUUCGUGCCAGCAGCCGCGGUAAUACGAAGGGGGCUAGCGUUGUUCGGAAUUACUGGGCGUAAAGGGCGCGUAGGCGGUGUGUCAAGUCAGGCGUGAAAGCCCCGGGCUCAACCUGGGAACCGCGCUUGAGACUGGCACGCUAGAGUUCGGGAGAGGAUGGUGGAAUUCCCAGUGUAGAGGUGAAAUUCGUAGAUAUUGGGAGGAACACCGAUGGCGAAGGCAGCCAUCUGGACCGACACUGACGCUGAGGCGCGAAAGCGUGGGGAGCAAACAGGAUUAGAUACCCUGGUAGUCCACGCCGUAAACGAUGAGUGCUAGACGUCGGGGCCCUCAGGGCUUCGGUGUCGCAGCUAACGCGUUAAGCACUCCGCCUGGGGAGUACGGCCGCAAGGUUA